rnacentral:lncRNA from 1 species
UUAUAGACUUAGGCUUGAUCCAAUCAGCGCAGUUUCAUCAAUGGAGUUAUAAGGAUCCUUUGAUGGUUCAGAUGGUAGUCAACAUGAAGGAAGUUUCCAGCUCAGUGCCAGCCUGCUUUCUUACAGCCAAGGUGGAUAAAGUUUCUUCGUAUAUGUACUAUAUUUCACAUAUCCAAUUAUCACUUAAUGGGCAUCUAGGUUGCUUUCAUUUCCUAGUAUUGUGAAUAGGAUAAUAAUGAACAUGGCUGUGGCAGAGAAAGCUUGCCGAAUGAACGCUGCUUCCUGACUGUGGACACAAUGUGACCGGCUGCUUCCAGCUCCUGCUGCCUUGACUUUUCCCUACAAUGAUGGACUGUGUCUCCAAACUGCGAUGAAAGAGAUGGAAGAUUAAAUAACAGUCUAAAGUCAUACAUGGUUGAUGACAGAGAAAAUACAGGUCACAGGCCAUCACUGAGGAAAAUGAGUGCAGAAGCUUGAGGCAGGAAACCUGGAAGAAGUCUACUUGCUGCCUUGUUCUCUGGAUCAGUCACAGGCUCACACUGCACUGUCUUAUACA